AGAGGAUGCUCUGGUAUUUUUUCUCCGUGUCACACGGUUUUAGAGACGUGUAUCAGUAUCGAUUUUACGUCUAGAAGACUAGACCGCCGAUUAUUCCCGCGAUCCGAAUGCAGGCGGCUUUAAAUUCCUGCUUCGACCGUUUUUGGGUUUUUUUUGUCGAUCCUUCACUCGCGUCGAGAAAAAAAAAGAAAAGAAAAAAAAAACACGUUAGUUUCCAUGGAAACAGACAACCACAGAGUAGGAGCAGGGAACAAUAUGACUCAUACGGUCACUUGGUUUAUAGCCAACUGCGCACAGCAUCUCGUUUACAAAGGCCAAGUGGAGGAUUCAUCGUGGAGGUAAAAUACACAAUCGGCUCUCUCGGGAACGGGGAGUGAAACACCAACGUGAUGAUAUUAAAGCACUCGUUCCCAGGGACGUGUACGGAGGACGCGUCACGUGACAGAUUGAAGACGUGCGUAAUCGAUACACUGACGUUUUUUUUUGUCAAGAGAAAUGCGUUUAUGUGACACGGAUGGAAGGAGUCUCCAGUGUCAGAGCUGCGUAUCCAUCAAAGGUCAGAAGAGCUCACACUUCGUCGUAACAACUCUCCGAGAAAGAAAUUAGGAAGAAUUAAAAGUUUUACUUUUUAUAUAAAAGAGAAAAGGAGAUGGGGGGAAAAAGGACAAAAAAAGAAAAAUGGACUUUUAGAGAAACUUGAUGCUUAAUGUUGCUGAAUGUCUACGAGACAAGUUCCUUCCUGUCGUCACUUCCAUUCCAUAGAAACCACAAUACGGCGUAAACCCCUCUGUCCUGAAGACGUCUCAGAACUUACGGCUUUACCUCCGAAUGUUACAAAGCACUGACUGUGGAGCCACCGUUGCUAUGGAAACGACACGAUCGCAUCAAAUAAUACAAAUCUGUGACGAGCAGCUGAAAAUGAAUCGGCAUCGAUCGACCAAUCAGAAUCCAGAACUCAACAACACGAAGGAAUAAAUGACAUUUGUUGUUGUUGUUUUUUUUUUUUAAAGAGUGGGAUCUUAGCAUACGAUCGUCUAUGAUCUCUACAGUCGUAAAAAACUCCAGAAAGGAGAGAAGGAUGGAAGGAUUGGAAAGACAGGAAGAAAGAAAAGAAUCAUGGGAAUUACAUUGGAGCAUUAGGAGCUGUCUAGCCUUUGUGUGUUAAAGGCAGUCGAGGCAGUGUGUAAUACAGAGACAACACACACAGACACGCACACACACACACACACACACACACACACACACACUCAUUAACCUUUCACACACUAUUGAUCCACACUAAGUUUUUUUUAAACACCCCGUGGAAUUAAGCGGAGGUUUAAAUGUUAAGCAAGAUGACAGUCUUAAUUUUUAAAGAGAAAAACACUAUAAAGAGAAAAAAUAAGUAUGGAUAUACUCUCUCUCUGUCGGUCUCUCCCUCUGCAGCUGUCUGUCUGCCUCUCUCUCUCUGUCUGUCUGCCUAUCUCUCACUGUAUGUCUGUCUGCGUCUCUCUCUCUGUCUGCAUAUCUGUCUCUCUCUCUGGGUCUGUGAUGGCGCGUCAUGGAUGGAGCCGCAAGCUGAAACUCGUUCUUUUUUCUCCCACAUCUUAGUUUGUUUUUACAUGCAUUAUAGGAGCCCAUUUAUUUAUUUAUUAUUUAAGUGUUGAUACCGGAAACUCCUUCUGGUCUCCCUCAGGAUUAGACACUAGAUCAGACUCUACAGGUGAUGUGUGUUUCGAACCUGGUGUUCAGUCGCUGCUCCUCUGAUAAACGGAUACACACGUGGAACCUGCUUUCUGAGUCCUGACGAAUAAAUAACACUCAAAGAAACGGUUUCUUGGGGGUUAAUAUCGUGUUUAUUUGCACAAAUGUCAUGAAAUCAAUUAUUUUUUUUAGCUGAUUUACAGAACAUGUCGAGGGAACACGGGGAAAUAAUGAGUUAAAAAAUAUAUAGGGAACGUGAUACACAGAGCUGGAGGCUGAGGAAAUUAGCCAUACACACACACACACACACACACACACACACAGAUUUCAUCUGUACACGCCUGCGUCCGCCUCCGCUCUGUAGAAAAGCCAACGCACCAGCAUGUGACUGACUGACACACACACACACACACACACACACACACACACACACACACACACACACACACACACACACACACCCCCCAUCUCUUCACAUUUUACUCCAGCUUUCACCGCCACGGAACAGACCGGAAAAGCAGAAAGAGGGAGAGAGAAAA